UCGCUUAGAUUUGCCAAGUCUCCAUCUCUAACUAACCUGAAAAAUUAUAUGCUCUCCAGCCUUGUCUCUGUUUCUCUCUCUCUCUCUCUCUCAACCAACUCCGAUCUCUUUUAUCUCCAAUUCACGUCCAUCUAUCUGCUCCAUCACCGUUUAAAUCUCUCAAAGUUGUGCUCCUCUACAAAAUUAUCUACUCAAUGAAUUAAAAAUGGUAUGCUCUCUCAGUCUCUGCAUCAUCAACCAAUAAGUUUGUGUAAUUGUAAAAGUCUUGACAUUUUCAUUCAAGAUUAUUUCUUUUUGAAUCUGGUUUCUGUUUCUUGAGAUUUGAUGGAUGCCCAUUUUGUUUUUCUAUCAUCUCUCUAGUGUGGUGUGGUUAAAAAUGGCUUUGAGCAAGGAUUUUUGAGGUUCUGGAUUGGUGUAUAUUUGUAAUGCUGUUGUUAUACUUUGAAACUAUUGUGAUUUUUUGAGAUUGAUGUUGGUUUUGUUUUGUCUUUGUUGAUACGAUAAUGUCUGGUUCAGUGGUUCUUUGAUUGAUACCAUGGUGGGUUUGAACUUCGAAGUGCUUUCACUUUGGAAAGUCGGGUUCUUGGAGGAUCAUGAAAUGGGAAAUUGAGAGUCCUUUUUUUCUUAGAAUGAGAAUUGUUUGUUGAUUAUUGGUAGUAUGGUUGAGUGAGGUAAUGUCUACUUUUAAUAGGAGUAAGUCAAUAAACCAGAGGACCUUGGGUGUUGGAACCCCAAGAACUGCUAGUUUCGGAAGCCCCAGAGUAAAAUUGACCUCAGUCUCGCAUUGGUUUCGAUGGCUUGUUGUGAUUGGAGCUUUGUUUCCAUUUUCUAUUGCCAUUGCUGGAGGUUACUUUUAUCUUCUUCCAAGUCUCACUCAAGCAUUUCAGGGUUUUGGUACUUCCAAGCUCAAUGAUUCGAUGGAAGAAUGCAAUCUCUUUGAUGGCAAUUGGGUUUUCGAUGAGAGUUACCCUUUAUACAAUGCUUCAGAAUGUCCUUUUGCAGAACAAGGAUUCAAUUGCUUAGGGAAUGGAAGGAGAGAUGAGGAUUAUCUUAGAUGGAGGUGGAAACCCAAGAGGUGUGAUAUUCCACGAUUCAAUGUACAUGAUAUUUUGGAAAGGCUUCGAAAUAAGAGGGUUGUAUUUGUUGGUGAUUCUAUGAGUAGAACACAGUGGGAAUCAUUAAUAUGUUUGCUGAUGACUGGAGUGGAGGAUAAAAACAGUGUUUAUGAAGUCAACAAUCAUAACAUAACAAAACGGAUUAGAUUUUUAAGUGUCCGAUUCAACUCCUUUAAUUUCACAGUUGAGUUCUUUCGCUCGGUUUUCUUGGUGCAGCAUGUUUGGAUGCCUAGACAUGUGCCAAGGAGGGUUAGGUCGACACUUAAACUGGACAAGUUGGACGAUAUUAGCAACCAGUGGGUAAAUUCGGAUAUUCUCAUAUUCAACACAGGACAUUGGUGGGUGCCUGAGAAGCUCUUUGAAACGGGCUGCUAUUUCCAAGUUGCAAAUACUGUAAGACUUGGAAUGUCAAUUCCCGUUGCCUUCAGAAUUGCACUGGACACUUGGGCAUCAUGGGUUGAGAAAAUGAUUGACACAAAUAGAACACAUGUCUUCUUUCGGACAUAUGAGCCAUCUCACUGGAGUGAACAAUCUCAUAGGCUUUGCAAUAUGUCCAAUAUUCCAAUCUCAGAAGCAGGAGGCAAGGACAGAAGUGUAUUUUCAGACACAAUAUUGGAAGCGGUAAACAAUCUGACAGUUCCUAUAACUGUACUCCAUAUAACCUCCAUGUCAGCUUUCAGGAGUGAUGCACAUGUGGGCAAGUGGAAUGGCAAUCCAUCUAUACCUGAUUGUAGCCAUUGGUGCCUACCUGGAGUACCAGAUAUGUGGAAUGAAAUUCUACUGUCGUACCUGCUAUCCCAGUCAUGAGCUUCCUCUCAGAUUAAUUGCAGCGGAAUAUUGAAAAGUGUACAUUUACUACCUGUCAAGUCAGCCAAACCCCACCUCUGGUCCACGAGCAGCUCUGGUGUGAAUUGUGAAGCCAGAAGAAUUGAGAAUAUUUGGUUACACAGAAAAUACAGUUUUGAAGAGAAACCAAUUUGUUCAUUCUUUUUGCAAAUUUUUGGUUGUUGGGAAGGGGCUGAAAUCUGGUCUCCAAUGUAUAACAAUUUUGUCCACCUUGUAGUAAAAAUGAUGGUUCUGGUUUUUGUUUCUUGAACAAAAUGGAAAAGGGAAAGUGAUGAAAUAGAAAUUCUCUAUUGUAUUUGUCAA